CUGACAUUCAACACUGAAGAAAUCAAAGACAAUGUUUGCACCAGUUUUUGGACAUUGCCUUGCUCUGUAUGUGAGCUGCCUGUGGCAUAGCAACUUUGCUGGGUUUGUCCCAGAAGUGGUACAGGUGAAAAUCUUGAAUCUUAUGUUUUGGACUACAGCACUGUCAUGUUUCAUGCCCUACAGCACAGUCAUGUUUCAU